GCCGCGAAAGAACCUGACGGACCAGAACGAAAAAAUUACUAUAAAUUCCGUUUUUGACAUACUUUUUGGGAUCUUUCCAUCUUUUCUUUUCUCCUAAACCUAAUAAACACCUUUGGGAGACUUGGAGGCAAUUUCGUGGUGGAGAGGGAGGCUAGGCCCUUGAGGGCCGGUGUCAGGGUCAUGGAGGAGGUGACAGCUUCUCCGGACGUCCAUGGCUCCGUUCUAUUUUGGGAGAUGAUUUGGAGAAAAAUAGAAAAAAUCCAAGAAAUAAGGAGAAAUUCGUGCCUGGCAUCUUUCCCAACGGACGAAACCGCUGCAAUAGCACCAGAUUUCACCUGCUGUUUAAUGUAGCGAAGAUCAAACCGCCGCGAAAGAACCUGACGGACCAGAACGAAAAAAUUACUAUAAAUUCCGUUUUUGACAUACUUUUUGGGAUCUUUCCAUCUUUUCUUUUCUCCUAAACCUAAUAAACACCUUUGGGAGACUUGGAGGCAAUUUCGUGGUGGAGAGGGAGGCUAGGCCCUUGAGGGCCGGUGUCAGGGCCAUGGAGGAGGUGACAGCUUCUCCGGACGUCCAUGGCUCCGUUCUAUUUUGGGAGAAAAGUCAAGAAGAUCCAACUAUUUGAAGAUCAAAAGGGGCUAAAAAUAUUGAAGUUCGCUUAAGCCAAAAGUUGACUCGCUUAAGCCAAACUACAUGGCAGUAGCAGUGGCAGAUAUAUUGAAGUUCGCUUAAGCCAAAUGUUGCCUCGCUUAAGCCAAAUUACAUGGCAGUAGCAGUGGUUCUGGAAGACAAUUCGGCUUAAGCGAGAAAUGGUCUCGCUUAAGCCAAAGACCUUACCUGAACGUGAAGAAACCUGCUCGCUUAAGCGACAUCUUUAUCAGCUUAAGCGAGAUUGCUGUCCUGUUUUAUAAAAAGCUAGACCAAAUCAGAAUUGGAUGAUCUCUUGACAUAUUUUGGACCUCUUAGAAAGAAAAUUGCAUAGAGAAGAAGGAAAGGAACUUUGGGAGCUUUGAUCCACCAUCCAUCGUGCUGGAGACACACCGAGGACGGCACGGGUCACCGCUUUCACCUUAGUUUCCUCUUGUAAACUUUGUAAGCAAUCCAUGGAUAUGGGUUGCUAAGUUUCUUUGUUGGAUUUGGAUGUAGCCUUUAACUAUGAUUUGUUCUUCUUGAUUUCUAUAUGUAAUAUAGUU